CCAAGCAUGGUUGAUCAUGUGCAGCUUGUCCCCCUCCGCUCCAGUCAACGUCGAAGCAUUCAUUGGAUUGUGUCUCCAACCUGGAGGUCUUGGGUUGUGUGGAAUCCACCAGGAUUGAGCCUCUGAUAACCAGAGCCCAGAUGAGAUGGAUGGAAAACAUCAUCAGAAUGGAUGACUGCCAUAUGACUUGCCAGUUGCUCUGUAGUGUGCCGGAGUCUGAGAAAUGACCUUGAAGUCAUCCACACAAAUGCUACAAAGACACUGAAAGAAACCUUAUACCAUUGUGGCAUUCAGCCAAGGGCAUUAGAAGCUGCAACUGCUGACAGAACCUGCUGGUGAGCUCUGUGCUGUGAAGCCACCACUGGCUUUGAAGACAAGCACCAUCAAAACCUGAUAGAAAAUGAUGAGCACAUCAUAGACAGUUGCUACAGCAAUGGACUUCCAGUGCCCCUAUUGUGCUACAUCCUGUGCUUCCACUGGGGAAUUGCAGAGCAAGCUCUCUGCCAACAGAUGAACUGCACAACACCAUGUUUUCUUUGAAUCCAAAGGAUAUGAAUAUAUCACUUCUCAUAUUUAAAGAUUCCCCCAUUUCAUAGAGAGAUUUACACCAAACUGAUUCAUUGUUAUCCUACUCUCUACUAAGUAUGUAUUAAAAAAAACCUGUCAGCACAGGAAUAUAAAUACUUAUUUCCUGAAAAUA